rnacentral:lncRNA from 1 species
GUCAGGCUAGAGAAGAAGAAGGAGGAAUAGAAGAAUGAACAUUUCCUAUUGGAGCAGAGAGAGAGGAUUGUCAUGCCCUGUGUGACAAAGACCAGCAACAGGGUCAACAAUGGGAUAUCUCCAGCUGUGACCCAGGCUGUGACUGAACAUGGGUCACACGCUCACCCCCAGGUAAUAAUGGACCACUGCUCGCUGUAGUCCCGGGGGACCCAGGCUGAUGGAAGCUCGCUCACCACUCAGACCGAGCAGUUGAUAACCCUGUGGGUGCUCUUUGUUUUCACCACUGUUGGGAACUGCGUCGUGCUGUUCUCCAUGUGGAGGAGGAAGAGAAGGCCCAGGAUGACCUUCUUUGUGACUCAGCUGACCAUCACAGACUUUCACAGGUCUGGUCAGCAUCUUGACAGACAUUGUUUGGCGAUUCACGGAGACUUCCUGGCGCCGGACCUGAUCUGCCGAGUGCUUCGCUAUUUGCAGGCAUGUGGCACCGGCCAAGCCUGGCGAGACAGACUGACACCAGAGGAAAAUAUCGAACGUCCAGCUCUCCCAGGAGACGGAUUGCCACUUCCUCCUAUGUGAAAUGACAGGCACCUUUUGCAAGGUUUUUGAAAUGUGAUUUUGUAGUUUAGUAUCAGGCGAUUUUGCUAAAAAUACUCCAUGUACAUUAAAACUACAAAUAGGCAACCCUAAGAAUAUGAAGCACUCAUAUUUCAACCAUCCAGUAGAAUUUCUUGGUCGAUAUUAAGACUUUUGACAUAGUAUGGCUAAAUAAUCUCCAGAAAAACUGUCAGUUAUAUUUACCAUUUGCCUCUUAAACUAACCCAACAGUGUUCUUUAAACAACAAAAAAAUCUUUAACAAUUUCAUAAAAAAUAAGUAUUGAGUAAUUGCCACUUAAACUACACUUUUUAAAAUAUCUAUUGACAUUUGAAUGUCUUCUUCUCUAAACCUACUAUUAAAUCCUUUCAAUUAUCUUAGAACUGGGAUACUUAUUAUUGUCUGAGUUUUGCUAAUACCUUUUUUAGAUUAAAGAUAUCUUUACUUUGCCUAUCGAUAGGUUCCAGUGUAAGACAGUUACAUAGACACAAUAUGUAUAAUUGAUUUAAAAUAUCACAUAUACAUCAAUUAUUUGUAUUCUUAAAGCACUACACAUGUAUAUAAUACAAAUAGAGACAAUUCAACUACAG